CAGCGCUGGAAGGAGGGUAGGGUGCCCUCCCUCUGUGCCGAGAGAGGCUGGCGACUCCCGCGGCGGUAGCGUUGCUGCGUUCGCAGAACACGUUCCGAUCCACAGACAGGCGUGUUCGAGAAGUGUCAAGAGAGCCGCGGAGCUGGCGGCCAGUGCACCUAGCGUUGGACCUGAAAUACACUGUUAUGGGAGGUCUGCCGGAACCCAGCGUCCUUUGCGGGAUUAGUCGAGAAGGUGUAAUACCCAAACCAUGCCAAAGCUAACCUCAGGACUGGGUGCCGUGACUAACGACCCCCUGCGCGGUGCCUGCCAAUCAGUGGAGACCAUGACCUUGAAAGGGCACCUCUGGAAAGCUUAUGAGAAGUCUAUUGUAUCCUCCCAAACCUCUCCUAAAAUCCCCGCUUAAUAAAACAUAAAAAUUCAUAGGACAA